rnacentral:lncRNA from 10 species
UUCGAGUUGUCUGGUCUUACUGGACUAAACCAAUGUACAUCUUACACAUAUUGAUUGGUGUCUCAUGUCUCCCUAAAAUGUAUAAAAGCAAACUGUACCCAUGAGCACACUGGGCACAUGUCUCAGUGAAAUGGGAGGGUUCUCUCAUCUCCCUCUCAAGAUGUGCGACAGGCGUGUGGCUCCUCUGGCUGCCAUGCAUGUUCAAACCCCUCAUGGGAAAGGGAACACACAGACAGGCAGGUGCAGAAGCUGGGGCAAGCACUCCUGGGCUCUAGACCCAUGGCAGCAUCCAGGGGUGGGUGCCUGUGAAGCCCAAAGCCCAAGUGGGUGUAUAUUACAGUGUGCUCUUUUAGCUUUGCCAUCCACGGAUGGCUUAAGUGUUAAACAGCUUAAUGGACCCUCUGCCUUUUCACAAGGGCAGAAAGCCAGUGUGACAGCUUUCUGUAUCCCAAACUCUUGUCCAGCAUCCAGGAAAAAUCAGGUCUCACAUGGAUUUGAAGGAUGGUGAAUGUGGAGGUUUUAUUGAGUGGUCAGGGUGGCUCUCAGUGGGACGGAUGGGGAGCUGAAAGGGAGACAGAGUCAGAAGAUGAUCUUUCCCUGGAGAUUUGCUGUCCCCAGCUGAACUCCUCUCAAUGUUCAGAUGCUCCUUCUCUUCUCUCCUUCUCUGCCAUUCUUCUGCUCUUCUGUUCCUCUGCUCGUCUGCUCAUGGAGCCUAGGCUUUGGGGUUUAUAUAGGUACAGGAUAGGGGGAUGUGGUGGGUCCAAAGGCAACUUUUAGUCAUGAAAACAGGAAUGCCUGUUCCCAUUUAGAGCCAUGGGUUUCCAGGCUUGAGGGUAGCACUUUUGCUGGGGAACCACCCUCUUCUACCCAGUAUUUCCUUGUCUCCUGUCUGUAUCAUCAGGACUUCCUGAGGCUGCGUCAUGGGUGCAUCCUUAACCUUGGCAAAAUUAAUUUUCAAAAUUGACUGAGACCUGUCUCAGAUAUUUGGGGUUCACAUUUGGGUAACCACAGAGGGAUUCUGAGUGUAGGUGCCCCUGACCUUUCACAAAUCUUCUACUGGUACUUGGUACCAGCUUGAGCUAUCUUCAUGGUUAAAACCAAUAGGACAAUUUGCUGAGGCCUGAAAGCCACCCCUCCAAAGAAUCCCUGAUCUCCAAAAAUUUGGUUGCAAUCUAAACUUUAUUUUGCUGCACAACUCCUUUUCUGAAGAUUUACCUGCUUUCAACAAGGAAGGCAAGUUCUCCUGCUUCCAUCACAAUGGAAGGCAGGUAAUUCCCUUAUGAGUUUGACCUUGCUCCCAGCACGGAAGAUGAAUCUGAGUUUUUUCCUGCUUCUAGGGUAAUAGACAGCAGUCUUCAGCCUGAGACCCAUCACUAGAAACAGAUAAUCGGUGUCGUGAAGAAAAGACAAAGGAUCUCUCAGCAAGGCAAUCUUUACUUUCUGCAGAAAGGGUGCCCCUCGCAGAUCGAACAAUCGUGACAGCACACUUGAACAAAGGAAAAGCAGACAUAUUUAUCAUUUACGUAUUUGGGUCAGCCUUACUGCUCUGUCCUGCAUCCAUUGGCUGGAGCUGGACCCCACAGUCUUCAACUGAUACCAAAUCUGCUAAUAACCUAAAACUUUCCUAAACAGGUAAGUGCAAGGGAGAACAAAGAAGAAAAAGAAGUUGCUUACUAAAGGUUUAAGGAAGCAAUUAACAUUUCAAAAAAGGAAGGGGCAUAAGCUAUGAGCUAAGACUUGCCUGGGCCUGUCCAGACAUGCCUGAGUAAGCCAAAGCAACUAACUGGGCUCAAGUGUAAGAACUAGUAGUUGAGAGGAGGCUUUAGAGUAAGGAGCUAUUAUUUAUAGUGUCUAUUAUUUUAUUUUUAAACCAAGAUGAAUUUUGAAGAAAAACUUUACUACUUUCUACAUCUUCUCUCCUAGGACCUUGUCUUUUUUUGAGCAAAAGUUUUUUUUUCUUCUCAGACGAUGACAUUCUGUUUUCUUCAUCUACUUCUGCUGUCUCUCCUUUAUUUUGCUACCCUCUGUUGCAUGAGGGACGUAAAAUAGUUUAUAAUUGCCUGCAUUCCUUAAAGAAAAUGGAGAAGAUGCCACACUCCCUUUUGGGGAGAAACCUCUAUUUUUCCCAAGAGUGUAAACACACAAGUUCAUCUCAGAUCUUAAGCUGCUUGCUUUUGUAUUGUGUUACUUGAUUUUUUGACUAAAACUGUUAUUAGUUUAUUCUUGGAUUUUUAAGGAAGAAAGUAGCUUGAACACUUAGAAAUGUCUUUGUUAAAAAAAAAAAAAAGGACACUGUAAAAGCAUCACUUGGUGUAGCCUCAUAGUAAUUCUCCCUUUUUGGAGAACUAGGAUUCAGUGUGGGCUCUGCCCAGAGCUCAGAGAUCCAGUUAAAAGACAGGUAGUCCCUAUCUAAAUACAACUGGUCUCCUUAUACAAUCCUAUAAUAUAUUUCUACAAUUUUGUGUUUGAUUUGGCAUCCAUCUUCAAUCUCCUUCUAACAUCACCAGACUCUUUCUCUCUGUGCUUUGAGAAGCAAAUUUCACUAUCUGAUUUUUUUUACCUAAGGGUUCCUUUAAUAUGCACAUUUAGGGCUAUCUAGCUGACAAUUGCCUAGGGCAAUAAAAUAGGUUAUGAAGAAAUUGUAAAUCUAAAAUACAAGGAAAAAAUAAAGGCCUUAGGAAUUUAUAAGAUCUACUUCUAUCUACAUGUCUAAUACAUCUAUGUAUUUAUGUGUCAUGGAUAUGACAUUUCACUACUAAAAAUGUAGAAAAGAGCUCUAAUUAAUUGGCUUAACAAAGGCACUUAAAUCUAAUGCUUUUCAGAAAAAUAGACUUUAAGCCAAAUGCUUUUUCAAGUUCAUGUGACUUAAGCAAAUCUUCAAUAAACAAGCUGGUUUUAAAAAUUUUAGUGAAAUUGAAUUAGAAAUGGCUUUGGAAUUCUCAACAUACAUUAUUUAUCUCUGCUAGAUGUCAACAUUUGGCAUAAGGGUUCUAAAGCUAUGAAUGCAGCUCAAAUAAGAAUUAUCUUUGUUUAUGUAAAAUUUAGUAAGUAAGGAAUUUAAUAUUGUUUGGUUAAUGAAAAUAGCUAAAUCCUGAGUUAUUGCCAAAAAAACAAAAACAAACAAACAAAUAAACAAAAAAAGACCCUUUAUCUAACCUUAAUGUUCUUACUCAGGACAACCUGAAAUUCACAGGUUAUAAAAAUGGUUAACAAGGACAUAACUUUAAAUGGUAACUAUUACAGUUUUCAUAAGUAAUCUGGGUAAACUAUUAGAAAAUUAAUUAAUUACACAAAUGUAACAGAAUAAGUUCUUGUAGAAUAUCUUGUCAUAUAAUUUAAAAUCCAAAGUUAUAUUAAGCUAAAUAGUAGAUAUUUAUUACACGUCUGGGUCAUUUCCAAUUUUUUUAAUUAUAGGAAAACAUUUUUCUGUAAAAAAGAAAUGUGAUCUUAAAGGAAAAUACUUUUUGUCUAAUUCGAAGCUUAUCUAAAAGUUAUUUAUGAAAUUAGGUAAUCAGUGAAUAAAAACAAUGUGAAGGAAGUUAUGAACAGGCAUUUUUGGCACAAAAAGUUAAAAGGAAAAUAAUUUUAUCUGAGCAAGAAUCUUGUAUGGUAAAUUUUUGUUCUAAAAUAAAAUAACUGGUUAUUUAAGAAAAAGGAAGCCUAGGCAUGGUGGCUCAUGCUUGUUAAUUCCAGCAUUUUGGGAGGCCGAGGUGGAUGGAUCACCUGAGGUCAGGAGGUCGAGACCAGCCUGGCCAACGUGGCAAAUCCCUGUCUCUACUAAAAAUACAAAAAUUAGCCAG